UACAGAGGUCCCAAGCGUUGUUCGGAUUCAUUGGGCGUAAAGGGUGCGUAGGUGGCGGGGCAAGUCUGGUGUGAAAUCCCGGGGCUCAACCCCGGAACUGCACUGGAUACUGCUUUGCUAGAGUACUGGAGAGGGAACUGGAAUUUACGGUGUAGCAGUGAAAUGCGUAGAUAUCGUAAGGAAGACCAGUGGCGAAGGCGAGUUCCUGGACAGUUACUGACACUGAGGCACGAAGGCCAGGGGAGCAAACGGGAUUAGAAACCCCUGUAGUCC
rnacentral:rRNA from 1 species